rnacentral:lncRNA from 1 species
CCAGUGCUACAUCAAGAUCCGCUAAUGAAUAUGGGGGUCUAGGUUUGGGUUGUUGUGGUACUUUUUGAGAUUAAUUGCUGCCAGAAUAAUUUAGCAUUAGGGCAUUCGAAGAAAAUGUGAGCAGAGGUCUCAAGAGUAGUAGCGUAGAAAUAGCACAUUGUGUUACAAUGAAUCCAAUUUUGUGGAGAUAGGCCUUUGUGGGAAGCCUUUCAUGGUAUAGGAGUCAUAUGAAGGUUUUGAUCUUGUUAGGGACCUUCAAAUUCCAGAUCCACAUGUAAAUGUUGUUAUCCCUUUCACCUUUUGGGAGUUAUGUUAGCAAGGACGAUAUAGGCUGAUUUGGUGUUGAAGAGGCCAUUGCUGAUGUUGCCAUAGAUCAUUUUGUCCUCCUCUAUCUGAAUGGGUGGAAUGAAAGUAGUUGAGAGAAGGUCUCUGAUGUUAGGAGAUAUGUUUAAGGAUAUGGAGGAGCUAUCCCAAGCCCCAUUGUUAUAGAUGGUAGCAAUUGUGGCUGAAAGGUCAGUUUAGGUGAGAGAACCCUCAAUUGUGGUACUGAUUGGUGGGUGAUUGGAGAUCCAGGAGUCAUUUAUGAAGUGACAAUGGUAUACAAAAGAUUAAUUCAUUCAAACUUUAGAGCGCAAACUUUGAAACACAAAAAACACGAGGAAAGUGAGGGACAAUAAUUUUAAAAACCAAAUGUUCCUUUUUUUUCC